AUUGAUUAAGAGCUUGCUCUUAAUCAGUUAGCGGCGGACGGGUGAGUAACACGUGGGUAACCUGCCUAUAAGACUGGGAUAACUCCGGGAAACCGGGGCUAAUACCGGAUAACAUUUUGCACCGCAUGGUGCGAAAUUGAAAGGCGGCUUCGGCUGUCACUUAUAGAUGGACCUGCGGCGCAUUAGCUAGUUGGUGAGGUAACGGCUCACCAAGGCGACGAUGCGUAGCCGACCUGAGAGGGUGAUCGGCCACACUGGGACUGAGACACGGCCGAGACUCCUACGGGAGGCAGCAGUGGGAUGAUUCUAGAAAUCUCCUACAAAUUUUCAG
rnacentral:sRNA from 1 species